rnacentral:tRNA from 1 species
GCGGGUGUGGCGGAAUUGGCAGACGCGCUAGAUUUAGGUUCUAGUGUCCCUUCGACGUGCAGGUUCAACUCCUGUCACCCGCA